GUCUGUGUUUUUUCACAAAAAGAAGAUGGAGUGCAAUGGUUGUCUGAAAGAUUAGUUCAUCAACUGGACACAGAUCCUGAAUCUUCCACUCCAGCUUGCCUCCCAGGUGAAACCUGGUCCAUGUGAGCAGUGGUCGGCUUCCAACAAAGCGAAACUUCACCUGUGUGUUAUAGAUUAUUUCCUAUUGUAAGAAGUUGCUUCAAAAUUUUGAGAAACAAGAAGGCAAUGAGUAUACAAACCAACAAACAUCUUCUCAAACUCCUCCAGAAUCAAUAAAAAAAAAAAAACCAAAUAUUUUGUACAAUUCCAGCCAUUGUUUGCUCGGACAAGAUGCUACUUCAUAUACUUGACAUGUUAUCCAUGAUUGCACAAAAGGGACAAAAUUCAGAUCUAAUAUUCUGAUUCUUCUCGAGAGAAUCACACUGGUCCCUGAGGGAUAAGAUUUACACUGAACAGCUGAUUAACUGGAAUGAAGAAUCUGUGCUAAUAUUAGCUUCUGUUUUUAAGGAUUAUAUUAAAAAUAUAAAAGGAAGCUUGCUUUGUUCAGGCUUAUAUGAAAAUUGGGUUAGCGUACUUGAUGAAGAUUCUCUACUUGCAAAAAUGUCUGCUAUACAAAGAUGUCUAUUAUACAAAUCGUGAUUGACAACUGUGGAGAUAUAUUUGGUGACAAUGACCAUAUAAUUUGUAAUGAUAAUCAGAAGAGGUCAGAUGACAUAAAGACUCUACUAAAUUCUGCUGCAGGAGAUAGUGAAACUUCAACAUAUAAAUUUCCACAACAGAAACUUCCUCAUGACUAAAGA
rnacentral:lncRNA from 1 species